GAUGAACGCUGGCGGCGUGCCUAACACAUGCAAGUCGAACGGGGUUAAGGGAAAUUUUCGGAUGGAACUUAACUUAGUGGCGGACGGGUGAGUAACGCGUGGAUAACCUGCCUCACACUGGGGGAUAGCAGCUGGAAACGGCUGGUAAUACCGCAUAAGACCCCGGCACCGCAUGGUGCCGAGGUAAAAGAUUUAUCGGUGUGAGAUGGAUCCGCGUCUGAUUAGCCAGUUGGCGGGGUAACGGCCCACCAAGCCGUCGAUCAGUAGGGGUUCUGAGAGGAAGGUCCCCCACAUUGGAACUGAGACACGGUCCAAACUCC
rnacentral:rRNA from 1 species